GGGAACAAUUGUUAUACAGAUUGCACUGAUAGCUCUUUGGCCUUCCUUUGAAAGAAUACAGAUACCACAUCAUCCUUGAGCCCACCUGCAACAAACAGCAUAAAGGAAUGGUGGGAUACUGAAACGAGUGUGAAGCGACCAAAACUAACAAAGUCUCUCUGAGAGGAUCUGUGCCUCCAUUGAGCUUGGAAAUAGCAAGUGCAAACGAUUUAGAAAAGAAUGGUAAUUCCCUGAAGCCUCAAAUUGUUCUGUUUCUGAACUGGUCUCUGGCAGUGUCUUCCAUGGUAGGGGGGAUGACAGCCUAAGGAAGCAGACUUUUCUGAGCUCCCUCCUCAGUAAAGAGAUGGGAACAAGCUCCCCCAGAAGGCACCAGGAGCAUCCAAAUCUUGCUUUCUGUCCCGGAUGGCCCUGCAGAGGUGCCCAUCUGACUCCAGCCAUGAGAGGUGCUGUGAAGACCCGGCUUACUGUGCUACAGAUAGCGUUUACAACCACCACCCCUCCACCCACACCUGCUUCAAGCCCUACCCAGAGCUAAGACUCUGGGCUUUAGAUGAGGAGGGGAGCAAGGUACCUCUGAAAAAUGAAUUGGGAAUCCCAGAAUGAGCAAGGUUGAAAAGAAUUACAUUGGAUCACCUCUCUGCUCAAGGAGGGUCAUCCUGGAACACAUUGCAUAGGAAUGUGUCCCAAUGGUUCUUGAAUACUUUUUUACUGGAUAUCAUCACGGUGUUGUGCUUUGUGUUGAGUGCUGAAAGUAAAGAGCAAGUAGAUGAAAGUAGCAAGCCAAAAUAUGAAAUGGCAUUUUUUUCCCUUUCACUGUCUUUCAAAACUAUUUUAAGUUUUGCUCUAUUAAAUACUGUCACUAUUCCUUUCUGUUUUACUUAUGAUUGUGAUGGGGUGAGAUCAGACUCUGGAUCAAACCUUUGAAAUCUUUGCAUUUGCCAAGAAACCAUUGUAAUGAUUCUCAAACAAUUCAAGAAAAGCCACUAGCCCAAUGUACUGAAAGCACCAUCAGUGAGUUUGUGCACUGUGCAGAUGUGCUUAGGGCUGGGUGUGUGUCCUGGGCUGUGUGGGUGCUUGGUUUAACCUGCCAUAUGGAAGAAAAGAGCCUGUGAUCAGGCUCUUCUGUACUCUCAGAAGCUUGUACAAGAGGGGUGGACCACUGCCAGGCCUGUUCCUCUUAAAAAGUGCUUGUAAGAUAAAAAAGCAAAAGUAUUAUGGUACAGAUAAUAAGGAAAUGGGUUUGUGGAGUCCAAGGCUGCCUGCACUUUGAUUUGGCCACUUACCUUGUUUUUCUUUUUGCCAUUACAGAAGAGGUAAUAAACAGAGAUGAAAUGUAAACUUAUUUUCUGUGAUAAACAGAAAAUAAGUUUACAUUUCAUAAGGGAGCCUGAGUUCUCUAAGAACACAUUGAUUCAGCCCAGCAGAAUUUUACAUCUCUCUCCUCACUGAUGCCAUUAUCAGUCCCCCAGAUCAGUGCAUGUUACCCUUUUGCAAUAUAGAGCACUGAUUGUUUUUGAAAUGUUGAUGCAGUUUGUCAAAGCAAUGAGGUUGUUCUCAUUUAUGAGAAGAUUUCUUUCUACAACUAGAUUAGUGCAGAAAUGCAGAGGAAGCCUUCAGAAAGCAAUAACUGAAGCUCAGUGCCUUUCAUGUGCCUGUAUUUUUUAAGAUUAGUACACAUUACUGUCAGCAACUUUUAUACCUGAGGAAUCAGACAAAACAUUGCAGGAAAACACACUAAAGCUUAUAAGGAGAAAGGAAUAAGUGGAACUGUAAUGGUUAUUGUUUUUUUAAUGUCUAUCUUUAAGAAAAUUCCUCUUUGUGACAUCUCUAUCUCUACCAAUAUUCCCCAGCAGGAAAACUAUUUUUGUCUAUUAAUAAUAUAUGUGCUAUCAAUAUUGACUCCUUUGUUAAUAAAGCAAAAAUCAAUGAAGCUGAAGUCAGGGAUACUUUCGUUUCUAUUAGAGUUUCAGCAUGAUGUAAGAUGAGUUUUCUUUUACUGAUUAAGACAUCUGAGUCUGAAAUUCAGGUGAUUUUUGCAAGGGGAGAAUUUAUUGCUUCAAUAAUCAUACUAAGUAUUCCCAUUAAAAAAGAAUAACUUAGUUUUCUGAUGUCUCUGUGUAAAUUUCAGGGGGGAAAAUGGUGAGAUAGGAGAGAUGUGGCUGCCUAGUGCUGCAGGCAGGGAUGAUUAGUUUCAUACUUAUUUUUCAAGUGGUACAUCAUGCUAUCAAACUUGCUAAACACUCUUGAGAGCAGGAGACAGGGCAAAAAAGGCUUGUAAACCCCCUCACACACUUGAAAUGGUAUUGUCAAAAUUUCCAGCCUUUGGAGUCUCUGAAAAUGGUAGAAUAUUAUUGGAAAAUUAUCUUAACUUUUCUACAGACCUUCAGAUACCAUAAAUUACCAUCUUCCUACAGUAGUAGCAGUUUAUGUCACUUUAGGAUUUGUUCUCUGUGUUGUAAACCAAACCACUAGAUUUCUGAGUUCAAGCAACUUUCUAUUUAAAGGUUGGGUCUAAAGUAGUGGUCACAAAAUGAACAGUCCCUGUUAAAUUCAAGCUCUGUGUGUGUGUGUUCACUUAUCAGAAUACCUGAAAUCACUUAAGACUUCUCUCCUUUCUGACCAGUAACACCACCAGCUAAUUAUUUCUGAAGAGAGAUCCCUCAAGAGCAGGCUGACAUCUGUGCCACAUAUUGACUGCUCUAUUAGGAGCCUACUGUUGCAUGCAGUCCAUGUCUGAUCAGAUUUCAUGUGCCUUGAAAUCCAGGCAACCUGGAAUGGGAUCUCUUAGGCAGUUAAGUUGCAUCAAAUAUUUAAACAUAGAGUUUGACAGCAUCCAUUAGGUCUCUUAAAGAAUCUCUCUUCUUCCUGUUGGAACUAACCACACAGCUUAACAAUUGUAUGACUUUUACAAUGAGUAACCCUUUCUGCUUCCUGUGUCCUCCAAGAAUAAUUUUUCAUGGUAGUUUCCAAUGUUUCCACAAUACAGCCAGCAAUUUCCAUGAAAGUUUCUAAUCCUAUUUUCACUGAAGGCAAUGUCACCAAAAUUAGUUUUGUACUAAUUUUAAAAGAGGAAAGAAAGGAGAAGGAAACUAAUAAUUUAUAGCACAGAGAUUUAUGAACAAACCUCGAUAAAGCAAAUAAAAAAUUGUAUCUAUUUUUCAGUAGAAUCUGAGUGCAACAAGCAAAGUACUUUAUUGCAAGACCAUCUUGGUCUAGUACCAAUUCACCAGAACCCUGGAAGGGGGCCAGUGGUGCACUGCCAGCUAGUGGAAUGAAUUCCAGCACAAAGGAGUUAAAUAACUUUCUUGUGGCCAUGACUGAUUUCAAUGGCAAAGCUGAGGACUGCAGCCAGGUUUUGUGGCUGUCAGUGCUGUCUUUAAAUUGGUAAUGUUGUCUUCUAGUUAUGGAAAAUACCAUAGUAUCAGUGUUGCUCCAGUUUGGCUCUAGCUGAAGUCAGUUAAUAUUAAGUCCAUACUCCAUAUACAAAAUAAUAAUACCAUAUUCAAAUGGCACUUAACCUUCCUAGGAAGGUCUGCACCACUCAAUGAUGAAAACCCUCUGCAUUGUGUCUGAUUUCUGAUUUUUGCUUAUAUAAAUAUUAAUAGAGAAAUAUUUAUUCAAGAAAAAAAUAUUCCUUUAUGCAUAUCCUUCUGUCUGUUUUUGAAAGCUGUUCCCUCCUAAGGUUUUGCAAGUCUCUGAAAAAAACCAACUUUCAUAGUGUUUGCCACAUAGUCUUCUCACAUUUAGCAUCUGCUUUAAAUUAAUGUCCUGAUAAAUUAUUCUACUUCAAAAAUUAUUCAUCUUUCUUUAUUCUGUUGUUAUUUAGGCCAUUUUCACUUUGUGAUUGCAAUAGGAUGGUAUUUUAAAUAAGAAAGCAGAGAUAAAUUGUGCAGUCUUAUAAUUUUUGCUGGAUCUUUGGUAGUCUCUUGAUGUGACAUUGUGAUAACUUUGAAGUAACUUUCAUGCUGGAAUUAAAAAAUUUCAGGGGGUGUUGACAUAGAACAUUUGUACACAAAAUUAUGCUAUAACAGAAAGUGUGCUGUUAUAUGACGAUAGCCAAAAAAGGAUGACAAAUUACACUAGAAUCAUAAAUAAUGAGAUGGGAAGUUUUUUUUUAAUGUGAGAAAAACUGAUAUGUUGCUUUUCUUAAAGAAACAUUUUUCUGAAGAAAUGUAGUUUUAUGAUUUAUUUCAAAUAAAUGAAUACUGGGGGGCAGUAUUGAUCAUAUAUGAAUGACUGUCAUGGUUCUAACUCCACUGAAACUUCUAUCCUACAGGUAACUUCAGAUGGCAACGCAAUUUUAAGAGGCAGUGUUGGAGGAGAAAGGUGUCGGAAGGGUAUGAAGGUGAUGACCCUGAUGACACAAGGUAUAAUAUUUGGCCAGUAAAAAUUACCUACUUCUUGAUCUCUGUGGUCAGACUGUAGGAAACACUUUGGAGAGAGCUCUGGGACUGUGAGCAGAUCUGUGAGGAAGCGGAAUGUAUCCACUGCUUAACAUACUGCCCUUACCUGAGGGUGCACCUUGCUAACUUCUCCUGAGGUUUCCUUUGAAGGGAUGUAGCCUCCAUCCUCAUGGAGCUUUGACACUGGAUGUGUGUGGCUGAGCAGCCUUAGAGGAAGAAGAGGACAUAACAGGGGUGAUGGCUGCCAGCUCCAGCAAGCAACCUGCAUUUCAGUGUGAUGAAUGAACAGCUCUUGGGGCUGCUGUAGAAGACACCACAGGUCCAUGGGAUAACCAUGGGACACUCAUGGUCCAUGAGCCUUCAUGAUAAGCUGUUCUCCAUGCUCUACAGAGCAAUUUCUGUGAGAGCAGGAGCUCUUCUGUAUAAUUCAUAUUGAAGGGUUGCUUGCCUGUGUGUGCUCUAAGUUGAAAUCAAGUCAGGUUUUUGUCUAAUCAUUGGUAAACAGCUUUUUUUUCUUUCUUUUCACUUUUUUUUCCAUUUUUUUUUCUCCAGCUAAUACAAACUUGACUGAUUUUCCCUCCCAAAGGAAGAUGUCUGUGGUUUCUCACAUAUAUAAAGCUGUGGAUGAUAAACAGAAAGAUAUAUAGCACCAAUGCAUUUAUUCAAGGGGAAAAAAAACCCCUGCAAUCAUACAAAUUUUACCACUGGAAACAAAUACUUUAAUAAAGGGUCAUACUUAAUACCUUCUGAAACUGGCAUUUUCAAAGGUACAACAACCUUCUGGACACAGGUUAGGGAUAAGUUACAAAGGUCAUGUGGGGACAGAGAAAUAUCUUUUGUCAGUACAGUCACCCCAAGCAAAUCAACAGAACCAGGUUCCUUUGUUAUUCAGAAUUUCAUCUCUGCCCUCUUCACCUUGAUCUCUGCAGCUUUCUCACCUUUCCCCCAUGUCCACAGCUACACUCACAUGUCUGCAAACCUCCCACCUUCCCCAUCUGCACUCUCCUCUUCAGCCUGGCUCUGUGUUUGCCACACGCCUAAGGAAUCAGCACAAGGCAUAAUCUGCUCCUUUCCUCGCUCUCCGACGCUGCUGUGGAGAUGCAGUCUCCUCCUCACCUGUUAUCCUUUGCAUGUUCUUGACUUGCCCAGUACUCUAGGAAACAAAUCUCCCUUUGACAUCUUGAUACUGGAACUGGAAUGUUGCUUUCUUGUCAACAUACAAGUCUUAUCAAAUCUUCUGACAUGAUUCAAAGUUUUAUGAAAUGGGUGAAUCUCAAGAUAAUUGAUCUCACUUUUACCACUCAGAGUGAACUGUGUAGUGUAUAUUGUAUCAUCCUGUCCUCCCCCAGCUAAAAGCCAUUAUUCACAAAAGUAUUUCUGUCUUGGUUGCACUGCUGUACAUCAUAAGAUCCAUUCCCUUUUUUUGUUUGUAUCUGGUUUUGCCUAAAGUCUUCCAGACUCCAGGUUUUGCUUUGUUUUCCUUCUCUGAGAAAUUUCACUUUAGCUUCUCUUUACUUUUGAAGCUCUUCUGCUAGUGCCCUGCUUCAUGAUCUGAACAACAAUGACCUUUGUGAAAGCAAACAAUUUUUCAGUCUUUGCUUGGUAAAGAACACAUUGAAGAGCAGUAUUCCAUUUCCUCUGAAAAUGUCUGGUUUUUUCACCUGUGAAACUUUUAUCAAAAGAAAUGGAGCACUUCUUUAAUUUCCAGUUUCUUAAUGCAUCUUAGUUUUUUGCCACUGCUGCAUGCAGCCUGAAUUACCCUGCACUUCUGAGAGAUUUCAUAUCAUGCACUAAAGAGAACCAGCAAAUACAGUGACAGCUUCAAAUACAUUGAAACAUUGGAAAAGCACAGAAGAAAAUAAUUACCAUUUUAUUUGUGUCAUUAGGCUAGACUGACACAGCUCCUUUCAGCAUACCAUCUGUCUUAGAUUGAAAUGGAAAAGUUUCUUAUUAAAUGAUGCAUUUGCAAGGGGUUCACAGCUGCAGAAAGAACAAAAUCUUUUAACAUCUGUUCAAUCUGCAGAGAUCUGAACCUAAGGCACCUUUGAAAGAAUAUUCUUGAAAUAGUGGUUUACUUCAGUGCCAGAACGGGUUGUUCAUUACUGUUGUGCAUUUGCAAUUCUACAUUUAAUAAUGGUGUUAUCAAACGGGACUGUGGAAAGAACACCCACUGGACAGAGUGGGCUUGUAUGACCUGAGAAGGCUUUCAAGUAUCUCCAGGCUUUUUAGCUUCCCAAGUACACUCCAGGUUUUCAAACAUAUAUGAUGUGAGAGCUUGAAAUUUUGACAGCUGUAAGGAGGCUGUGACUCUGAAAAGAGAAGGACACUAUGAGAUCAGCAACACUGCUUAGUAAUGGAUCUUGCUUUGCCACCAGGCAGUGAUAAAUGAUAGUAACAAUUGCAGCAUAUGUUCAGUCAGUAAUGAAUGCAUUUCAGACCACAACAGUUUUUGCUCUUGUCAGGUUUCCACUGUGUUUGUUCACUGAAGAGAAUGAUGAGUUUACUUUUACUUGAGCAUUCACCUCAAAUGUGUUUGUGUUUAAUAAUCUCUUUGUUUGAAGCACAGGAAAUGACUGCGUGCCAAAAAAAGGACUAAAUAUUUGGAUAGCAGUCCAGAAAGGUCAUGCUAUUAUGUGCAAGGAUAAAGAUCAUCCAUCUGUGAUCAGCUGUCUUAUUUAAAAAGCAAAUAAAAUGGCCACCUCCAGAUAUGAUUAAUAUGUCUGGUAACCAGGCCACGUGUGCAGGGCUGCUCCAGAACUAGGACACAGCAAAGCUGCUGCUGUGCCACACAAACACAGUUAAUCCAGCAGGUCCAGCAUUUGUCUAGACUGACAGGGAUGCACAGAUUUAUAGUAUGGACAUGCAUAAUAACACUGACACAUCUGGAUCUUUGUGUUCUGCUGGCCAAAAAGGCCUGGCUGCCCAGUACUGCAGGUUUUGGGUCAGUGAGACCCACUUUGAUAUGAAGACACUGGAGGUGUGGGCAGGCAGCUGUCUUUGGCAUCAGAAGGUUGGGAGCUGCAGCAAAACCACCUCAAACCCGUGGGACUGAACCCAGACUGCAUUGGAAGUUGGACCAAGUAUGUGGGGCAGCAGUGGAGUAGUAAAAUCCUAUUGCUCAGUAGGAGAAG